rnacentral:rRNA from 1 species
CAGGCGGUUGAUUAAGUUAGAUGUGAAAUCCCCGGGCCUUAACCUGGGAAUGGCAUCUAAGACUGGUCAGCUAGAGUCUUGUAGAGGGGGGUAGAAUUCCAUGUGUAGCGGUGAAAUGCGUAGAGAUGUGGAGGAAUACCGGUGGCGAAGGCGGCCCCCCUGGACAAAGACUGACGCUCAGGUGCGAAAGCGUGGGGAGCAAAACAGGAUUAGAUACCCUGGUAGUCCACGCUGUAAACGAUGUCGAUUUGGAGGUUGUGCCCUUGAGGCGUGGCUUCCGGAGCUAACGCGUUAAAUCGACCGCCUGGGGAGUACGGCCGCAAGGUUAAAACUCAAAUGAAUUGACGGGGGCCCGCACAAGCGGUGGAGCAUGUGGUUUAAUUCGAUGCAACGCGAAGAACCUUACCUACUCUUGACAUCCAGAGAAUUUAGCAGAGAUGCUUUAGUGCCUUCGGGAACUCUGAGACAGGUGCUGCAUGGCUGUCGUCAGCUCGUGUUGUGAAAUGUUGGGUUAAGUCCCGCAACGAGCGCAACCCUUAUCCUUUGUUGCCAGCGAUUCGGUCGGGAACUCAAAGGAGACUGCCGGUGAUAAACCGGAGGAAGGUGGGGAUGACGUCAAGUCAUCAUGGCCCUUACGAGUAGGGCUACACACGUGCUACAAUGGCGUAUACAAAGAGAAGCGACCUCGCGAGAGCAAGCGGAACUCAUAAAGUACGUCGUAGUCCGGAUUGGAGUCUGCAACUCGACUCCAUGAAGUCGGAAUCGCUAGUAAUCGUAGAUCAGAAUGCUACGGUGAAUACGUUCCCGGGCCUUGUACACACCGCCCGUCACACCAUGGGAGUGGGUUUGCUAAAAAAGGAAAAGGUUUAUGGG